CAGUCGCCACGGUAAUACGGAGGGGGCUAGCGUUGUUCGGAAUUACUGGGCGUAAAGCGCACGUAGGCGGCUUUGUAAGUCAGAGGUGAAAGCCCGGGGCUCAACCCCGGAAUUGCCUUUGAGACUGCAUCGCUUGAAUCCAGGAGAGGUGAGUGGAAUUCCGAGUGUAGAGGUGAAAUUCGUAGAUAUUCGCAGGAACACCAGUGGCGAAGGCGGCUAACUGGUCCAUAACUGACGCUGAGGUGCGAAAGCGUGGGGAGCAAACAGGAUUAGAUACCCCCGUAGUCCCUGUCUUUAUACA
rnacentral:rRNA from 1 species